AUAAACGCUGGCGGCGCACAUAAGACAUGCAAGUCGAACGGAAGUCGUUAUACAAGGAGAGAAGAUUUAUCGGAUUGAAUUAUAUAACAAUGGCUUUAGUGGCGGACUGGUGAGUAACGCGUAAGAAAUCUACCUAUUAGAGGGGAACAACAAUGAGAAAUCAUUGCUAAUACCGCAUAUGCCAUAAACAUCGCAUGAUGAAAGUGGGAAAGGAGCAAUCCGCUGAUAGAUGAUCUUGCGUCUGAUUAGUUAGUUGGUGGGGUAAUGGCCUACCAAGACGACGAUCAGUAGCCGGACUGAGAGGUUGAACGGCCACAUUGGGACUGAGAUACGGCCCAGACUCCUACGGGAGGCAGCAGUCGGGAAUAUUGCGCAAUGGAGGAAACUCUGACGCAGUGACGCCGCGUGCAGGAAGAAGGUUUUCGGAUUGUAAACUGCUUUAGACAGGGAAGAGAAAGGACAGUACCUGUAGAAUAAGCUCCGGCUAACUACGUGCCAGCAGCCGCGGUAAUACGUAGGGAGCGAGCGUUAUCCGGAUUUAUUGGGUGUAAAGGGUGCGUAGACGGGAAUACAAGUUAGUUGUGAAAUACCUCGGCUUAACUGAGGAACUGCAACUAAAACUAUAUUUCUUGAGUGCAGGAGAGGUAAGUGGAAUUCCUAGUGUAGCGGUGAAAUGCGUAGAUAUUAGGAGGAACACCAGUGGCGAAGGCGACUUACUGGACUGAAACUGACGUUGAGGCACGAAAGUGUGGGGAGCAAACAGGAUUAGAUACCCUGGUAGUCCACACGGUAAACGAUGAAUACUCGCUGUUUGCGAUAUACUGCAAGCGGCCAAGCGAAAGCGUUAAGUAUUCCACCUGGGGAGUACGCCGGCAACGGUGAAACUCAAAGGAAUUGACGGGGGCCCGCACAAGCAGUGGAGUAUGUGGUUUAAUUCGAAGCAACGCGAAGAACCUUACCAGGGCUUGACAUAUAGAUGAAUAUAUAAGAGAUUAUAUAGCUUUUCGGAGCAUCUAUACAGGUGGUGCAUGGUUGUCGUCAGCUCGUGUCGUGAGAUGUUGGGUUAAGUCCCGCAACGAGCGCAACCCCUGUUUCUAGUUGCCAGCAUGUAAAGAUGGGAACUCUAGAAAGACUGCCGUAGAUAAUACGGAGGAAGGUGGGGAUGACGUCAAAUCAUCAUGCCCUUUAUGUCCUGGGCUACACACGUACUACAAUGGCUGUAACAGAGGGAAGCGAACCAGUGAUGGUAAGCGAAACCCGAAAAGCAGUCACAGUUCGGAUUGAAGGCUGAAACUCGCCUUCAUGAAGCCGGAAUUGCUAGUAAUGGCAGGUCAGCAUACUGCCGUGAAUACGUUCCCGGGCCUUGUACACACCGCCCGUCACACCAUGAGAGUUGGGGAUACCCGAAGCCUGUGAGCCAACAGUUAAAUGGGGCAGCAGUCGAAGGUAGAAUCAAUGAUUGGGGUG
rnacentral:rRNA from 1 species